GCUGGCGGCAUGCCUAACACAUGCAAGUCGAACGGUAACGCGAGGAGCUUGCUCCUUGGCGACGAGUGGCGGACGGGUGAGUAAUACUUAGGAAUCUGCCCAGUAGUGGGGGACAACCAGGAGAAAUCCUGGCUAAUACCGCAUACGCACUACGGUGGAAAGUGGGGGAUCUUCGGACCUCACGCUAUUGGAUGAGCCUAAGUCGGAUUAGCUUGUUGGUAGGGUAAUGGCCUACCAAGGCGACGAUCCGUAGCUGGUCUGAGAGGACGAUCAGCCACACUGGGACUGAGACACGGCCCAGACUCCUACGGGAGGCAGCAGUGGGGAAUAUUGGACAAUGGGGGCAACCCUGAUCCAGCAAUGCCGCGUGUGUGAAGAAGGCCUGCGGGUUGUAAAGCACUUUCAGUAGAGAAGAAAAGCCUAGGGUUAAUAACCCUGAGUCUUGACGUAACCUACAGAAGAAGCACCGGCUAACUCCGUGCCAGCAGCCGCGGUAAUACGGAGGGUGCGAGCGUUAAUCGGAAUUACUGGGCGUAAAGCGCGCGUAGGCGGCUUUGUAAGUCGGAUGUGAAAGCCCCGGGCUUAACCUGGGAAUUGCAUUCGAUACUGCAUAACUA
rnacentral:rRNA from 1 species